AUGACCCUGAGCAACUCCCCGGGAAGCCCGCACAAGGGUCUUGCCUCCCUCAUCGCUUUUACUGCAUGGAUCAAAUGGAAACACCGCAACACCUGCAUCUUUGAUGGUGCAACCCCGUCCACCUCCCUCCUGGUUCACAACAUUCAGGAGGAAGCUCGCAUCUGGGUUGAGGCUGGUGCUCGAAGGGUUAGUUUUGAUCAUUCAUGUAACCUGAGUUUGACAUGUAAGGACUGA
rnacentral:rRNA from 1 species